AUGAGUAUAAGCAGUGAUGAAGUCAACUUCGUGGUAUACAGAUACUUGCAAGAGUCAGGAUUUUCUCAUUCAGCAUUUACCUUUGCUAUAGAAAGCCAUAUCAGUCAGUCCAAUAUAAAGGGUGCCCUCAUCCCACCUACUGCAUUGAUUUCUAUCAUCCAGAAAGGUCUACAGUAUGUAGAAGCAGAAGUUAGUAUUAAUGAGGAUGGUACCUUUAUUGAUGGUCGACCAAUAGAGUUUGUGCCUGAUAGAUGCGGUAAUGCCUGAUGUAGUACAAACAAGACAACAGGCUUAUAGAGAUAAGCUUGAAUCGCAACAGGCAGCAGCUGCCGCAGCUGCAGCCAACCAACAAGGAUCUGAAAAAAAACGGAGAAACCACAGCAAAUGGGGAGGAGAAUGGAGCACAUACUAUAGCAAAUAAUCAUACUGAUAGGAUGGAAGUGGAUGGGGACGUUGAAAUCUCUCCUAAUAAAGCAGUUGUGUUAUGGGGCCAUGAAUCUGAAGUUUUCAUCUGUGCCUGGAACUCUGUUAGUGAUCUCCUAGCAUUAGGGUCUGAAGACUCAACAGCAAGAAUAGGGAAUCUUAGUGAAAACAGCACCAGUGGCUCUACACAGUUAGUAUUUAGACAUUGUAUAGGAGAAAGAGGGCAAGAUGUUCCAAACAACAAGGAUGUAACAUCUCUAGAUUGGAAUAGUGAAGGUACGCUUCUAACAACUGGUUCCUACGAUGGGUUUGACAGAACAUGGACUAAAUAAAGAUGGUAACCUUGCUAGUACCUUAGGGCAGCAUAAAGGCAAUAUUUGCAUUAAAUGGAAUAAGAAAAGAAAUUUUGUCCUAAGUGCUGGAGUAGACAAGACUACAAUUAUUUGGGAUGCACGUACCGGUGAUGCCAAGCAACAGUUUCCUUUUCAUUCAGCACCAGCAUUAGAUGUUGAUUGGCAGAGCAACAACACCUUUGCUUCUCGUAGUACAGAUAUGUGCAUUCAUAUCUGUAAAUUAGGACAAGACAGACCUAUUGAAACAUUCCAAGGACAUAUGAAUGAAGUAAAUGUUACCAAAUGGGACCCAGCUGGCAAUCUCCUGGCCUCCUGUUCUGAUGACAUGACUUUAAAGAUAUGGAGUAUGAAACAAGACAAUUGUGUCCAUGAUUUGCAAGCACAUAAAGAAAUUUAUACUAUCAAAUGGAGUCCAACAGGACCAAGGACUAAUAAUCAAAAUGGCAACCUUAUGUUAGCAAGUGCAUCCUUUGAUUCUACUGUUAGGUUAUAGGAUGUAGACCGAGGGAUAUGCAUCCAUACCUUGGCAAAACACUAAGAGCCUGUGUACAGUGUAGCUUUCAGUCCUGAUGGCUGGUAUCUGACCAGCGGUUCUUUUGACAAAUGUGUACACAUCUGGAACACACAGACAGGUGCUCUAGUUCACAGCUAGAGGGGAACAGACGGAAUUUUUGAAGUUUGCUGGAAUGCAGCAGGAGACAAAGUUGGAGCCACUGCAUCAGAUGGUUCAGAUUGUGUAUUAGACUUUUGGAAAUAG